GAUGAACGCUAGCGGCAGGCCUAAUACAUGCAAGUCGAACGAGCUUGAUUUCUUCGGAAGUCAGGUUAGUGGCGCACGGGUGCGUAACGCGUAUGCAACCUACAUUCUAUUGGGGGAUAGCCUUCCGAAAGGAAGAUUAAUACCGCAUACCACUAUUUGAGGGCCUCCGAAGAUAGUGAAAGCUGAGGCGAUAGAAGAUGGGCAUGCGUGCCAUUAGCUAGUUGGUUGAGGUAACGGCUCACCAAGGCGACGAUGCGUAGCCGACCUGAGAGGGUGAUGGGCCACACUGGGACUGAGACACGGCCCAGACUCCUACGGGAGGCAGCAGUAGGGGAUCUUCCGCAAUGGACGAGAGUCUGACGGAGCAACGCCGCGUGAGCGAUGAAGGCCCUCGGGUCGUAAAGCUCUGUUGUUAGGGAAGAACAAGUAUCGGAGUAACUGCCGGUACCUUGACGGUACCUAACCAGAAAGCCACGGCUAACUACGUGCCAGCCGCCGCCGUAAAAC
rnacentral:rRNA from 1 species